CCUACGGGAGGCAGCAGUGGGGGAUAUUGGACAAUGGGGGGAACCCUGAUCCAGCGACGCCGCGUGAGUGAAGAAGUAUUUCGGUAUGUAAAGCUCUGUCAGCAGGGAAGAAAGAAAUGACGGUACCUGACCAAGAAGCCCCGGCUAACUACGUGCCAGCAGCCGCGGUAAUCCGUAGGGCGCAAGCGUUAUCCGGAAUUACUGGGUGUAAAGGGUGCGUAGACGGUUAAGUAAGUCUGGAGUGAAGGGCCGGGGCCCAACCCCGGGACUGCUCUGGAAACUAGUGAACUUGAGUGCAGGAGAGGUAAGCGGAAUUCCUGGUGUAGCGGUGAAAUGCGUAGAUAUUGGGAGGAACACCGGUGGCGAAGGCGGCUUACUGGACUGUAACUGACGUUGAGGCUCGAAAGCGUGGGGAGCGAACAGGAUUAGAUACCCGGGUAGUC
rnacentral:rRNA from 1 species